rnacentral:rRNA from 1 species
CGCAUCUGUGCAUGCAGCAUAUCAAUAAGCGGAGGAAAAGAAACUAACAAGGAUUCCCCUAGUAACGGCGAGUGAAGCGGGAAGAGCUUAAAUUUGAAAUCUUAAAGGGUUUCCCUUUACGAAUUGUAGUUUAAAGAAGUGUUUUCUGUUGAGGUUUUGGUAAAAGUUCUUUGGAAUAGGACAUCAUAGAGGGUGAGAAUCCCGUAUUUGACCUUUACUUUCAACUUUGUGAGACACUUUCAAAGAGUCGGAUUGUUUGGGAAUGCAGUCCAAAAUGGGUGGUAAAUUUCAUCUAAAGCUAAAUAUUGGCGAGAGACCGAUAGCGAACAAGUACCGUGAGGGAAAGAUGAAAAGAACUUUGAAAAGAGAGUUAAACAGUACGUGAAAUUGUCCAAAAGGGAAGCGUUUGACACCAGCGUUGUUUUUCUGAAAAUCAAUUAAAGAACUGUUUAUGCUAAGUUGUUUAGACUUUAUCAGCUAACUGUUUAGUUUUGAGCUUUUCUUUAAUGCACUUUUCAGUUAACAAGUCAACAUCAAUUUCUUUUGCUGUAAAAAAGCUUGAGGAAGGUGGCUUGAGAUUCGUCUUAAGUGUUUAUAGCCUCUUGCCUAUGCAGUCGGAGAGAUUGAGGUCUGCAGCGUAGAUCCUUCGGGGCUAAAUGCAUUUGUGCUAAGUUAUAACAUUUUAUAGACAACUUGUUGACUAUGAUUUGUCUUGUAGCUUACUCGCUUAUGUUAUUUUACCUACGCUUAGGAUGUUGACAGCAGUAUAGACUGU